rnacentral:rRNA from 1 species
GAUGAACGCUAGCUACAGGCUUAACACAUGCAAGUCGAGGGGCAGCAUGAACAAAGCUUGCUUUGUUUGAUGGCGACCGGCGCACGGGUGCGUAACACGUAUCCAAUCUGCCCGCGGCCCGGGGAUAGCCCAUCGAAAGAUGGAUUAAUACCCGAUGGCGUGGUCACUCCUCAUGGCGUUUCCACUAAAGGUUUUCCGGCCGCGGAUGAGGAUGCGUAUGAUUAGGUAGUAGGCGGGGUAACGGCCCACCUAGCCUUCGAUCAUUAGGGGUUCUGAGAGGAAGGUCCCCCACACUGGAACUGAGACACGGUCCAGACUCCUACGGGAGGCAGCAGUGAGGAAUAUUGGUCAAUGGGCGAGAGCCUGAACCAGCCAAGUAGCGUGAAGGAAGACUGCCCUAUGGGUUGUAAACUUCUUUUGUUCGGGAAUAAAGUGCAGUACGCGUACUGUUUUGUAUGUACCGUUCGAAUAAGCAUCGGCUAAUUCCGUGCCAGCAGCCGCAGUAACAC